CAGCGAGUGCCCAGCUUGGGAGCUCUUUUCUUAGGCUGUGGUUUUGAGGACCUUUUUCCCUAGUUACAUUUUAUACAAAAAUACAAUGAAAUCCGGAGUUUUUAUUUUUUUCUUCAGGGAUUUCUCAGUUGAUAAUAAGCCUUCAGCCUGAUUCUAGCAAGAAGCAGGCCCAGCUACCAGCUGGGGUAGAAAACCUGAGGAGCACACUUUGUAAGCCCCUACCCAUUGCAGGGCCAGGCAUGAAGUAGACUGAAAAUGAGUAGAAAGCUGGGGUCAAAGGAGGAAGAAGUACAAACCCCCAAGGAAAAACAUUUCUUGGUUAAUGAAGUGUGAAUCCAAACGCGAGGGAGGGGAUGAGGACCAGCAAGCUACCAGGCAGUGUUCAUUAAAUCUGUGUGUGGUGUGAUCAGAAAUCUGGAGCAUACCUCAUCCCUGCUGCCUUAAGGGAAAAAAUAAUCCAUUUUUAGAGUUCACCUUGCAAUGGUCAUGAGCCUCGUUAAGCUCGGUGCUGCUGCAGCUCCCCUCUGAUGGCUGGUGGUAUUUCUGUCAAGUUCCCUGUGUAACUGUGCUAGACCUGCUCUGCUACUGCUGGGAAAGCCAGGCCUGUGAAUAAGUGAGAACAGAGAACUGGGCAAGUGACAUGAGAUUGGUUUUCAGUUCGUGAACCUGGAUGGAUAUUUUCCCAAUAUUUUACGUCCAUCUUCCACCCUGACUUUUCUUCCCACUGCUAAGUGGCCAUGGCUCACUCAGCUGUUUGUGGUCUAUUUGGUGCGUAGACCUUGCUGUCUUCUGUGUUUCACCAGAAGCAGCUGGUGAGCAGCGCACACCAACACACUGGGCCACUGUGGCUGUAUCUUAGUUUCUUGCCCGCUUUUCUGUGUGUCGUGGGAGGAUUUCUGAUCUGUGUGCUGUGUAUUUCCAGGCAUGCUACAUGUUCACAGGCACACACAUUCAGAUGAAAGACGUUCGUGUUUAAUGCAUUUUCUGCAUCUCCAUCCAAAAUCCAGCAAAAAUAAACAUAUCUCAAGAGUAAAUGA